rnacentral:rRNA from 1 species
UUCAUGGAGAGUUUGAUCCUGGCUCAGGACGAACGCUGGCGGCGUGCCUAAUACAUGCAAGUCGAGCGGACCGACGGGAGCUUGCUCCCUU